UAUUGGACAAUGGGCGAAAGCCUGAUCCAGCCAUGCCGCGUGUGUGAAGAAGGUCUUCGGAUUGUAAAGCACUUUAAGUUGGGAGGAAGGGCAUUAACCUAAUACGUUAGUGUUUUGACGUUACCGACAGAAUAAGCACCGGCUAACUCUGUGCCAGCAGCCGCGGUAAUACAGAGGGUGCAAGCGUUAAUCGGAAUUACUGGGCGAAAGCGCGCGUAGGUGGUUUGUUAAGUUGGAUGUAAAUCCCCGGGCUCAACCUGGAACUGCAUUCAAAACUACUACAGAGAUAAAGGGUGGUGAAUUUCCUGUGAGCGGUAAAUGCGAGUUAGAAGAACACCAGUGGAAGCGCACCUGGCAAACUGACUGGUGAA
rnacentral:rRNA from 1 species